rnacentral:rRNA from 1 species
GGUAAACCAGCACCUCAAGUGGUCAGGAUGAUUAUUGGGCCUAAAGCAUCCGUAGCCGGCGCUGUAAGUUUUCGGUUAAAUCUGUACGCUCAACGUACAGGCUGCCGGGAAUACUGCAGCGCUAGGGAGUGGGAGAGGUAGACGGUACUCGGUAGGAAGGGGUAAAAUCCUUUGAUCUAUUGAUGACCACCUGUGGCGAAGGCGGUCUACCAGAACACGUCCGACGGUGAGGGAUGAAAGCUGGGGGAGCAAACCGGAUUAGAUACCCGGGUAGUCCCAGCUGUAAACUAUGCAAACUCAGUGAUGCAUUGGCUUGUGGCCAAUGCAGUGCUGCAGGGAAGCCGUUAAGUUUGCCGCCUGGGAAGUACGUACGCAAGUAUGAAACUUAAAGGAAUUGGCG